AUCACCUGUUUUGGAAAAUGACCAUGGUUUUGUUGCAUAUAAGAGGAAAUGAUGUAUUUAUUAAUUAUUUUCAUAUGUAUAAGUGCAUGCUUAAAGGGAUAUUUCAUCCAAAAACAAACAUUCUAUGAUCAUUUACUCACCCUCAUAUCAUUCCAAAACAAUGAACCCCAUUGACUGAACAAAAAACCCACUUUGUUCAAACAUUUUUCAUAUAUAAUAUUUGAAUACAUUAACUGAAGCUUUUUUAUACAGUACGAAAGGGGGUUUUGCAGGUGAGUUUGGAACUUAAAACAACAUUUAAGGGGUUGUUUACUGAGGAUGCACUUUUUAAAUGGUUGCUCUUUUACUCAUGUUUUGUGGUAUCUGGGAAGUGCUCUGCAUUCAACUGUUCUUGUUCCAUUCUACUGAGCUGCAUCUAGUUGCUUUUGAAGAGUGCAUAUAGUGGCACUUCCCUUCAGUUGCUUUUUACAUGCUUAUGAUACUAUUAACUCCUUCCCCUUUAUACGCUAAAGGUCGACACCUCUAUCUUCACUGGUCAAAAAUAUAUUACUUAACUAUUCCACAUCCUCCACAUUGACUCAAUGUGAAAUGAAAUGAGUCAAAUGGAAAUAAAUAAAUGUAAUCUUAUUUUAGAAAUGACCAAAUCAAACUAAAGUCUAUGCCAAAAGAAUCAUAUUGCAUUUUCCAGUUCAUGGAUAUUACUGUUCUACUCUAUAGACACAUUUUUUUUUGUAUUAUACUAACAACAAUGUGCAUGGUCAGUCAGUAUCAUUCCUUUACAAAUUUUUUUUUUUUGUACUAGAGAAGGGUGAUACAUUGACGGCAGUAUAUAAAUAUUAAGCUCACUGUAGCUGUUCACAGUGAUUCAGAAGGCUUUACUGAAGAGGCUCAAAAGAAGGUGGUACUGUGGAUGUAGGAGACACUGAGAGAUUGUCUUCCAGAACGUCUUGCUCCUUUGCUGGGGCAAAACUAGCUGAACUCAUAGCGAAGCUGACGUCUUUGCUGGAGUUUACAGAACUGAGACGUUUUCAGAACAAUAUGACUCUUGAUGCCGUGGAGAGCCAGGUGCAAGAGGUAAGAGAAGAGAUGUGUUUGCUGUACUCAGACUCUACAGUUCAGGAAUGGGUCAAACAUGUCACUCCAGUGCUGGAGCCACUGCACAACCUUCUGAGAGACACAGAAACUGUUUUAAAUGAAAUGGGACUUUGUACUGAACCCAUAUAUAAAAGUUGGUCAAUAAGUUUCACUGGAAAACUUUCUUUGGUUCCAUUCAAGCUAGACUGUUCUUGCAGUGCAAAGUAAAACAGAAUGAAACAACUGAGAAUGCUUAUGUUUGUGAAUCACAGUUGUAUUAAUUCAAAACAAAGUGCAAAAAUAAUGUUGUUGAUUUUUUGUAUUAUAAAUGAAAUAAAAUAUAACAUUAUUAUAAUAUUUGUUUCAUUUAAAAUGAUUACC